CAAUUGCUGUUAUCGGCUCCGCCCAAUGCAAUUAGGUGUAGUUUGAAAGAUCUUUUAGUCUACUUUUUUUCUAGUAAAUCCAUUGAUUAUGUAGAAGCUGUAUCAUUGGCUAAUGCCUUUUGUAUUCGGAUGACGCGUCAGAGAAAAGAAAACUUGCGCAGUUGGUUGAAUUAGAACAUUGUUUUAUAUUUGCACCAACAAUAAAGCAAUCACUUUACUCGAGCACUUGAGAAGUGAAUCACGUAGAAGUUUUAAUCCAACGUUAAUUUUUAAACAAGCAGUGAAGGUUGUUCGCUUGAACUGCCGCAAAGAUGGUUGUUGAAGUGUUGAUAGAGUACUGUCAGGCAUGAGGUGGACAGAACAGGAUGGAGGCUCUCACUAGUAAGAUCCUCGCAAAUUUUCCUGAAGUUAAUAUAAAAAGCACUGUGAAUCCCAGUAAAGGUGCCUUUGAAGUCACUAUCAAUCACCGCGGGGUUCAUUCAAGGCUCAAAAGUGGCUCAUACCCAGACCACGAAGAGAUUCUGAAGUGUAUAAAAGAUGCUCAGGACGGAAAGCAACUCAAAGCAGUUCAUUAAACCAAUUUGGGCUGCUCUACUCUAUAUCUGCUGCAAUUAUGUUACACUUUAAAUUCUGAUAUUAAAGUCACUUCUCUCUUUCUAAUUAAUUAAUUAAAGGCCUUGGCUAUCAUACUUCCUUUCUAAAUCCUCAUGGUUCAGACAUAUAGAUAUGGACUGGCUCACAUCCCAGUAUCAUGAUAAGUUGCACAACCUGUCUCAUUAUGGUGAAGAUAUUUAUCCAGUAGAUGUUGCUACCCUUACAUUUUCACUGAAGCAAUAUUUCUCUAACCAGUUAGAACAACAAAAACAACAAGGCUGUUCAGCUGACUGAAAGAGUUAACCUUGUUCAUUGGUGAGAUAUUUUAUGAUGCUUGCUUAACAAUGUAUGUUGUAGAUGGUGGCUACAAUUUCUGGUUAAUGCUGAGCAGUCUGAUGUGAUAUUGAUGUUUAUGUUUGGUGGAAAAGGCCAUCCUUAAUUCCAUGUGACCUCAAAUAUAUCAACUGGAGUUGACUAUAUAAGGAGAUACAUUGUGAAUUUUGAAAGCUUCCAUUCAUUUGCUUCUCAUAUAUUACUUCUUGUUGCUCAGCAUAAAAAUCUAUCACUUCAAUUAAUUGAGUGAUCUAACUACUGUCUGAUGAAGUACUAUUUGGCUUAACCAUGUGGAUUUCUUUUCUAUAUUUUCUUUCUUUUCCUUUCCCCACUUCCUUGCCUCCUAUUUCCUAUCCAUGUUAUCCCUUCUAUUUUUUUUCACUUUCCUACUUUCUGUCUCAUCUCCAUUCUCUGAAUUUCUCUUUUUCUCUACAUCCUUUUACUCACUUCAGUCUCUCUUUCUAUCUUUUUUCCCCAUCUAUCUACUUCAUUCAACCAAUUUCUGGAUCUUCUUUUAUUUCUCUCUCUCUCUUAGUUUUUUCUUUUCUUGCUUUCUUUCUAUGGUAUUUUAUAUAUUUUUAUAUUUGUUCCUCCACUUUUUUUCACUCAUCUAUUUUCAUCAAUAUUCCUCCUUCCAUUCUUUAAAUCCCUAUUCCCUCUGUUUUCCCCCUCAUUCCCUAUAUCUUUCACGUUCACUCUUCUCUCAAUUUCCAACCCUCCUCAAAAUCUACAUCUCUGUACUAUGUUAUCUAAUACCUAUUUAUUCCUAUUUCCCUCUCUCAUAGACUCUUCAGCACUAAUAAUUUCCUAAUAUAUCACUCAUAAAUCUUUUGACCAGCCACUAAAGUUGAUAGUCAAGGCUGAAUUCUAAAUUAUCCUGUCUUUCUUUUUUCAGGAUAACAUUUGUUAUCCUGAAAAUACUCUGUAAUGCUUAUUUUAAAAUUUUCAUUUGACUUUCUUACUGGUUAUUUUCUGGCUAUGAAAACACUGGUUUAAACAUAUCGACCAGAGUUGGAUAAAUUCUGAUGAAUAACCAGUAAAAAUCUCGACUGAAAUUUGCUUGAAUAUUAAAUCUUAAAAAUACUA